UGAAUACGAAAUGCUACGGCAUUGAAGUGAUCUAUGCCAGGCUUCCAAGAAAAUCUCGUCAUAUCUUAAGCAGUAGAUGCCUGUACCUUAAACCGACACAGGUAGGUAGGUAGAGUAUACCAAGGGGCGCGAGAUAACUCUCUCUAAGGAACUCGGCAAAAUAACCUCGUAACUUCGGAAGAAGAGGUACCCUUGAAAAAGGGUUGCAAUAACCAGACCCUGGCGACUGUUUACCAAAAACACAGGUCUCCGCUAAUUCGUAAGAUCAAGUAUGGAGGCUGACGCCUGCCCAGUGCCGGAAGGUUAAAGAAGUUGGUCAAUCUUUGGAUGAAGCUGGCGACUGAAGCCCCGGUGAACGGCGGCCGUAACAAUAACGGUCCUAAGGUAGCGAAGUUCCUUGUCGGGUAAGUUCCGACCCGCACGAAAGGCGUAACGAUCAGGGUGCUGUCUCGGAGAGAGACUCGGCGAAAUAGACAUGUCUGUGAAGAUGCGGACUACCUGCACCUGGACAGAAAGACCCUAUGAAGCUUUACUGUAUCUUGGAAUUGGGUUUGGGCCUUGCUUGCGCAGGAUAGGUGGGAGGCUGUGAAGAUAUUCUUGCGGGAAUGUUGGAGCCAACGGUGAGAUACCACUCUAGUAAGGCUAAAAUUCUAACUCUGAACCGUUAUCCGGUCAGAGAACAGUUUCAGGUGGGCAGUUUGACUGGGGCGGUCGCCUCCUAAAAGGUAACGGAGGCGCGCAAAGGUUCCCUCAGGCUGGUUGGACAUCAGUCGUAGAGUGUAAAGGCAUAAGGGAGCUUGACUGCGAGACCCACAAGUCGAGCAGAGACGAAAGUCGGCCUUAGUGAUCCGACGGUUCCACGUGGAAGGGCCGUCGCUCAACGGAUAAAAGUUACUCUAGGAUAACAGGCUGAUCUCCCCCAAGAGUUCACAUCGACGGGGAGGUUUGGCACCUCGAUGUCGGCUCAUCGCAUCCUGGGGCGGUAGUACGUCCCAAGGGUUGGGCUGUUCGCCCAUGAAAGCGGUACGCGAGCUGGGUUCAGAACGUCGUGAGACAGUUCGGCCCAUAUCCGGUGCAGGCGUUAGAGCAUUGAGAGGAGUCCCCCUUAGUACGAGAGGACCGGGGGGAAUACACCGCUGGUGUACCAGUUAUCGUGCCAACGGUAAACGCUGGGUAGCCAUGUGUAGCGCGGAUAACUGCUGAAAGCAUCUAAGUAGGAAGCCCACCUUAAGAUGAGUGCUCUCACCGCUAUAAGCGGUAAGGUCACGGUAAGAACAACCGUUAUAUAGGCAUUAAGUAUACGUGCAGUAAUGCAUUUAGCUGAGAUGUACUAACAGACCGAGGGCUUGAUC
rnacentral:rRNA from 1 species